GUAAAAUUAAUUGAGUAUGUAUUUGCAUUUGAUGCAUUCUCUUUAUAAUAUUUAUAUCAUUAAAAAAUAUUGUAUUCAAUUUUUGAAUGUUUAGGAACACUACUUCUGACAUGUGGAAAAAAGUUAGACAAGAUGGCAGCAGAAAAUUAAAAUGCAAUGCUGUACCAACAAUAUUUAGAGAAGAAAGCGAAAGUAUUUAAUUAUUUAUAUUGGUUUUUUGUUUAUUCACCAAUUUAACACCUAUAGAUAUUUGUAUAACAAGAGAGCGAAGUGCACCUUUUCCUCCCAAGAAUAAAGUUUACUAGUUUACUACAGUAAUCAUUCAAGGGAGGAAAAGGCACUUCUCCCAUGUUAUACAUUUUUCCACCUCCCUCAAAUAAGUCAUUAUUCCAUUUUUAAAAUAUUUAUAAAACUGUUGAUUGAAUACAUGAAUCAUAAUUGAAUACAGGAAUUUGUGUAUUCAAUCAACAAUAGAACUAACAAAAUUUAUUAGAGAACUAAAACUAACAAGUAGGUACAGUAUAACUAUCAAAUUAUUAAUGAAAAAUUUUUAAAUCAAAAUAACAAUUUACUGUUUUUACCAUUUUGCAACAUCUAUAAAUAAAAUUUAAAAUGUAUGGAUACUUACCUAAUAGAAAAUAGAGUAAUAGUAUAGGGUGUCAAUAAGUUAUUUCAUCUAUGCUAUGACAUAGUAUGACGUCAACAUCACUUUUACUUUUACUCCCUAGGGAUUAAAAGUACUUUGUUUCCCUAGGGAGAAAAAAUAUGACUAUGCUCCCUACAAUGAGGCCAGGAAAUGUAUACUUUGGAUAGAGGUAGGUGGGAAAAUCUGUUUUAUUCAGUUAUUGUGAUUUGUUUCUUACAGACAAUCGGUUUGUUCUAGCACGAGUUUCAAACGGUCUGAAACCAUUAGCGAAUAGUGGACCAGCGUGAGUAGAGGGGAUAGCACUCGUAACUGUAUUAUGUUCUCUCACUGACCAACUGUUUGCUGACUAGUUCGACUGUUUGCUAGAACAAACCUAUUAUUCAAACAAAAUGUCCUCUACGUCAGACUGAUCAGAAUUUUAAAAAUGUGUCAUAUCAAUCAAAUCAAAAAAUUUAAAAAAUUGUUCCUGUAACCAUUUUUAGUGGAAAUAAUAACAGUACUUAUAUUGGAUCAGAGAGCCACCCAAUUCAUUGUUAAAGUAUGAUAAACUAAAAGUUAAACAAUUAGGCAUGCACUUCAUAUUAUAUUUAAUGAAAUAUAACCCACUGGUACUCAUACAAACUUGACGGCAAGCCAAUUCAACAAAUUUUUCCUCAUUUAUUAGUUUUUCACUACUGUUAAGUUUGGAAACAAGCGCUGUUGCCAAAUAAAAACAUAUACAGUCGGAAAAAUGAAAGAAUACCCAUGAACAAUCACAUCAAUCACAUAUUUUGUAUUUGCUGUUUUUUUUUCAUAAAUAAUAAAUGAGAGAGAUAGAUUAUUAAUAAUCUGAAUAAUAUGUGAUUGAUGUGAUCGUUCAUGGGUAUUCUUUCAUUUUUUCGACGGUAUGUAUUUACCACAGCAACUACAGGUGACACUGUUUCUCUUUGUCUUUAAGAGUGUGAAACAAAGAUAACUACAGUGGGAAAAAUAAAGAAUACCCAUGAACGAUCACAUCAAUCACUUAUUUUGUGUUUCCUAUCUUUUUCUAUAACAAACGUUUAUUAUUUAUAGAAAAAGAUAACACACAUAAAUUAAGUGAUUGAUGUGAUCGUUCAUGGGUAUUCUUUCAUUUUUCCAACUGUAUCUGUAAUAUACGCUGAGCUCGUAGGUAGAGGGGAUAAUUAAAAAAUCGCGAGAGCCAGUAGUGACAAGUCUGUAAACCUUUACUGGAAAUUUGACAUAAAUGUCAAAGUGAAUAAUUUAAAAUUGAAAUUAAAAACAUUAAUUAGAAAAAAUAUUAGUUGGUCAAAGCUGUGAUAUAUUUUUAUCUUAAGUAUACUUACGGUUUAAAUACUGAAUUAAGUUUUUUUAAUAUUUUGUAAUAUCUAAUUAUAAUUAGAUAUAAAUCAUCUAAGCGCCAUCUACACGAUAAUUGUGAAUGUAUCUGAAGUAAGAAAUUAAUAUUUCAUUAAGAGAACGUUAAAACAGUUAGCAAAAUUUUUAAAAAAUCGAUUACAAUUUAAUUACUUUUUUGCGUUGUAAAUAUUAAGCGAUAAAAUUAAAUAAUAAAUUUAAAAAUUACUGGUGAAAGUUGAAUUAGUAAUCCGCUAGGAGCGACACCAGCGAAGCUCAGAGCGUAUGUGGGUGCGUUUGGACGACCAUAGCAGCUGACUGUCAGCAGAAAUCGGCUGAGUGGUUGUAUCCAGCUGUGAUAGGGAAAGCUUAGUAAAUCUCUCAGCGGCUGACUUCCAGCGGUGACGUCUGACAGCUACUGCUGGCUCAGCUGUCCAGCCGCUGUGGUCAUCUGAAUGCACCCAAAGGUUAUGUAAGAUUUUUGUUUGUUUAUUUUUUCUUCUUCUUUUGUGGCCUUUGGAAGCUGUGCCCAUUUAGCCAGCAACAUUUCUUAAAAUUAAUGCCUAACUAAACCCAGAGUGCGUCCAGGGAGAGUGUAGCCAAGCCCGGAAACCAGAGCAAAAUAUGGCCGCCCUCAGUGAUCACUGGUUGCCCUAGUCGCACACAAAAAUAUAAAUUUUACAUAACUGUCAGUUGUAAAAAGAAGAUUGAGGUUAUAUAGAAACAGUGCAAAAAAUGAAAAAAUGCAAAAUUAUAUUUUGAUUAAAUUAAUGUUAUGUUCUUUUAUUAGAACUGCUUGUUUUGAGAAAGUCUGAAGUGCCUAUAGAUAGUGCAAUAUUGAUUCGGAGAAAAAAGACGUUAAUUCAUAACAGAAACUAAAUGAAUCUGAACCAAAUCAUUGUAAACAAAAUUCUGGUCUCAUUAUGGAUGGGCUGCAGUGGAGCUUGCAAUAAUUGGUUUCACACUGAUUGUGUAAAAAUAUCAUUUGCUUCUUAAAAAGCUAAAACGGUAUUGUGAUAAUUCUAUAGAAAAGGUGAGAGUAUGAGUUUAAGUCAUUUAGGUUCGGAUGUGUGGAAGAUAAGAAGCUGGUCAAAAUAGUAAAGCAGAAUACAUAGCGUAGAAGGAGUUAGUAUGGUUAUUGUUAAUGAAAAGUAUAAGCAUUUAUCAGUUAUUCUGCACGUGGAUUCUCCCAGGCAUAAACUGUUGCUAGAAAAGGGGGAAGAUCAGAUGAGGAUGCUGGAGCUAAACUGGUCUGUUACUUACAAGAUUAGUUUUUGUGAUAAUUUGCAAAAUGUGUUUAGGUGCCUCUUUUAAUACUAGUGACAUAACCAGUGUUUAAACAUGGAUUAAAAAAUAGUGUGUGUACUUUUAUGUAUGUAAGUUAUACUUACAGUAGACGCCCUCUUAACCGACCCACCCUACACCUGUUUGGAUGAUACUAUUUUUAGAUUAGAGGUCAUACAAGUUUCAUAAUUUGUCUUGUGAGUGAUAUUGUUAAUUACAUAUGUAUAUACACAUCGACAUUCGUUUCACUUUAUAUUUUGACUUAAUUUGUUUAAAAAUGAAUCAUGACCCAUGGGAAAAGUUAUAGCGGACGGACUAUUAUAUGUACAUACUACUUUUCUGUUUAUAGAUCAUAAAAUAUAUAUAUUUUUAAUAGAGUUACAUAUGUAAUGUCUUUCUGAGGGUGGUUUUAAAGAUUUUCGGUUUAACCAACUUUUUGAUUAUCUGACCUAUAGGCAGCUCCCGUCAUGGUCGGUUAAGAGAGCGUCUACUGUAUAUAUGAUUUCAACUAUUUCAAGGAAAUAAAUAGAUUCAAAACAAA